rnacentral:rRNA from 1 species
GACGAACGCUGGCGGCGUGCCUAAUACAUGCAAGUCGAGCGGAUCUCAAGGGGCUUGCCCCUUGAGGUUAGCGGCGGACGGGUGAGUAACACGUGGGCAACCUGCCUGUAAGACUGGGAUAACACCGGGAAACCGGUGCUAAUACCGGAUAAUUCUUUCCCUCACGUGAGGGAAAGCUGAAAGUCGGUUUUUAGCUGACACUUACAGAUGGGCCCGCGGCGCAUUAGCUAGUUGGUGAGGUAACGGCUCACCAAGGCGACGAUGCGUAGCCGACCUGAGAGGGUGAUCGGCCACACUGGGACUGAGACACGGCCCAGGCUCCUACGGGAGGCAGCAGUAGGGAAUCUUCCGCAAUGGACGAAAGUCUGACGGAGCAACGCCGCGUGAGUGAUGAAGGCCUUCGGGUCGUAAAACUCUGUUGUUAGGGAAGAACAAGUAUCGGAGUAACUGCCGGUACCUUGACGGUACCUAACCAGAAAGCCACGGCUAACUACGUGCCAGCCGCCGCAGUAAAAC